UGGGUGCUUUGAUCCUGAAGUAGCCGUUCUUGUCCGUUUUGCCAACCACAUUGAGUGGAUACUUGGUGUUGUUGCACUGCAAUUUCACAGUCGCCCCUGCCCCCUCCCCCCAAAAACAUAUCAAAACAAUGUCUUUGUCAGUAUUCAUUUGGUGGUCAUUUUUUCUUUUUCUUUUUUUACUCAAAAUACUCUUGUGGUUUGAGAAUGAGUAAAGCAAGAUUUGUUUUUGAGAUUGAUUAAACCCAUGGACAAUAUUAAAAGAAUAAAAAAAAUAUUUAAAUACUAGGGACUUCAAAGAGAGAGCUUGAAAAAGGAAAAAGUAGCUAGCUAUGCUGCCAUAACCAUGCCUCCUACUGAAUGUGACAUAAACCUAGAACAAAGAGAAAGAAAGAGAUCAAGAGCACCUCUCUCUCUUUCUCUCUCUCUCUCUCUCCAUUCAAAAUCUGGGAAUGUAUACAUACUGCAUCCAUGAAAACAAAUGCACAUUCGCAUCCAUACGUAUGUUAUGUAUGCAUGAUGUAUAACUAAACAUAUAUGUGAAAUUAAUUGAAGUAAUAAUGAUGGAAAAAAUCAAGUAUGUAAAUGUUAGAAGCAGGGAAAGUUAAAUUGAAAGAGUUCGAAACUGACCGAGAACAGCGGUAGCUCCUAGGAGGGUAUCAGCUCCGGCGUACUUGCAAGACUUGCAAUAAACGACGCCUUGAACUUCAACAAGGCUCCUAGGGAAACGAUGGGUGGGUGUGGGUGGGUGAGCAGGAGCAACGUGCGGUGGAGGUGGGUGAGCAGGAGCAACGUGUGGUGGAGGUGGGUGAGCAGGAGCAACGUGUGGUGGAGGUGGGUGGGCAGGAGCAACGUGUGAAGGUGGGUGAGCAGGUGCAUGAGCGGGAGUGUGAGCCGGUGCAUGAGCCGGCGGGUGGGGGUGGUGGUGAUGAUGGUGGUGGCUUGGGGCGUGAGCCGGUGGGGCAGUAGGAGGGUGGCUGUGGUGGUGGUGGUGGUGGUGAUGGUGGGGGCUUGGUGCCGUUGCCGGGGUUACCGAGUGGUAGUGUGAUGGUGGCAUAGCCAUGGAACUCUCAGUGUAAACCUGUUCACCAUACACAGUGAAGCUGCAGCCGGCUAAGACCAAACAAACAUGAACAACAAUCAGUAAAGCUUUACCCAUUUUGUUUUGUUUUUUUUUUUCAGUCUUCUUUUAUCUCUAGUAAAGAAGAUGGCCAGCCAACUAGGGGGAGGGUGAGAGAGUGAGAGAGAUCGAGAGAGGUGGUGAAAACGAUCUCCGAUUGGGGGAAUUUAUAGGGGUUUUAACCCGUGAUUCUCUGCGGUUUUUUGUGAUAAAAUUUUUAUUUUAUAAUAUGGUGGUGGGGCUAUUAUUAUGCAUUAUGCUGUGAGGUGGACACAAACAUAAUGCAAAAGAAGAGAGAUAAUGAGAUAAUGCAAGAUUGAUUCGUUAAUUUGUUUUAGCGUUUGGUUGAGGCCCAAAUAAAAUUUGUUGAAUUUUUUUUUUAAUUUUAAAUCUAAUAUUAAAGUCUAAUGAUAUUCAUAAUACUGAUAUUCAAUGUCAAAUGUGUAGACAACUUCUAACAUCUCAAAUUGACUCCCAUAAUGUGUGUGUAUAUUAUUCAAGGAGACUUAAAAGGUCAUUCCACAUGUGUUGUGUGUAGAAAAAGAGUGACUAAUGAGUAGGGAUGGUAAAUUAAUCCGGACCAGGAUUGGACCCGGAUAAUCCGGUCCGGGUUUAACCCGUACCGGAAGGUAAUACAAUGCGGAUCCGAAAAGGAUAUUUUGAACCCGGAUAUAUUCCGGUCCGGAUCCGGUUUAUCUUAACCCGGAUGUCCGAAACCCGGACCCGAAUAAUUUAAUUAUAAAAGAAAAAAAAAAACCUAAUGCCUUAAGUCUUAACCUACUGCAGCCGCUUCUUUCUUCUCCAAUUUCUCUUUCUUUCUCCUCCAUCUUCUCUUUUCAUUAAAACAAACCCACUGCAGCUGCUUUCUUUCUUCUCCAAUUUCUCUUUCAUUCACUCAAAUGACUUGGAAAAAUCUUUGUAUUGAAAGGAAGACAAAGAGGAAUGCACCCAUUAAGGCUUAUACUCAUUUUUUGUCACUCUUGCUGGUUUUUGACAGCUACUUUCCGCCACUCUUGCUGAUUUUUUGUCACCAGAAAUUGCCGAAUCUCCACAGCAACUUUUUGACGAUGCUCUCCUCGACGCCGACGACAACACCAAUGCCACCAAAAAUCUGAAAACUCAGCAAUCCUCCCUCAACAUUCAUUUAGCUAUGGUUUCAGGAUUUUGGUGAUUUGAGAUUUGGAGAUUUGAGGAAGUAACAUCAAGAGAAAAAAAAAAAUUGUAAUAGAUAUGCGGGUUUAGAACCUGCAAUCCAAAAAUUUGACUUUUUCUGGGUUCAAUCCGAUUCGGACCUACAAUAAAAAUAUCCAGAUUAUAUCCAGAUCCGGUAUAACAAAAUUAUCAUUCGGAUUCAGAAUCGAAAAGACUGGACUCGAACCCGGAUCCAGAUUUUGCCAUCCCUAAUAAUGAGUGGGUUCCAUACGUUAUUUUACUUACUAGGGAAAAAUUAUACCGGUGGAGGAUUUUAAAAGGAUAAUUAGGAAUACAAGGUGAUUAAAUCCCAAGAGAUCGUUGUAAACAAGUGGCUCAGAGAUUCACAUGCAGAGGUGAGACCGUGCGAGUGGGCUCCGGAAUUUUGGCACAUGUAGCGAGGCAAUGUAGAAGUUUCCGAUGUUUCUUUGGUUACUGAACCUCUCGUCUUUAUUUUUUUAAAAUUAAAUUAAAUAGUACGUUGAUUCUUUGGUUUGGGAAAUUAAUGAUAUUUACUAAAACUCUUGGUAAAUGGUAAAUAAGAUGAAUGAUUGGUAUGGGCCCAACCAAAAAGUAAUGGCAAGUGAUAAAAUUUCGAGCUCUUUGUGGAUAAAGAAAGAAUAUUGUACGUUACAAUAAUUUUUGACGUUGAAGUUCCUGUGUUUCACAAGAAAAGUGAAAAUAAAAUAAAGCAACCUUAAUUUCCUCCGUUAUUAAAAAUAUUAUAAUAUUUUAAAAAUAUAUUAAUUAUUUAUUUUAAAUUAAUAAAAUAUAUUUAUUAUCUAUUAAAUUAUUAAUUAACGUUGAAAGAUAAUGACAUUAGAAGGGUAAUUUAAUAUUUUCACACGAUAUAAAAAAUAAUAAAAGAAUUUAAGAAUAUAAAAAUGAUAAUUUAAAAGUACGUAAGUGAUAAUAAGAUAAUUUAAGAGUAUAUAAAUAAUAAUUUUUUUAUUUUAAUUUAAAUUUCAAAAAUAAAAUAUCAAUUCGCUGUAUUAACUUUCAGAUGGUAACUAAUGAUUUAGUUAUUAGUAUAUAUAUUUUGUCAACUUAAAAUGAACGAUUAAUAUUAUUUUUUACAACAAAACAAAUAUAAGGUAUAAAAUGAUAAUUUCCCUAACAUAAAUAAAGAAAUGAAACACUAUUUUCGCUUUUGCCACUUUCGUUUUCGGUUUCGAAUUAUCGUCGGAGUCUAGAAACUAGGUUGUGUAUUUAUUAUAUGUGCUCUGUUUUUAUUUGUUUAUCUUUUCUCUGUUCUGACACCUUAGAAAACUUAAUCAGAAAACGACAUGGCAAGGAGAAAAGAAAAUAUUAUACUAGGGUUAUUGAUAUUAAAUCAGAGCUAGAAUUAGCCUUAGGGUUCCUUCUUUUAAACCCUAAAAAUUGAAAACUCAAGUUUAUUAUUUAUCGUAAUAUAAUUAAAUUCCGACAAAGUUAAAUAAUGGGUUCAUUUGAUGGGUAAGUCGUGUAAAAUUUAUCAAUCGUUUUUCGCGUAAAAUUAAUAGUAGAAAUUUCCAAAUCUAAGCGAAUGUCAAAUUUGGUCCAACGCAUGAAAUAAAUUAAAACUCUGGAGAUGAUAACUUUCUAGAUAAUGUAAUUGAGCUUUUUAUAUAUGGAACUGCAAAUGUAAUUCCUCUGUCCCGCAUUUCGGUCCUUUUAUAGAAGGUUAGAUAUUAUAUUUUGAUGAACUAUUAUUUGAACUAAUUAAAUAAUGAUCGCUCCUUGCACAUAUCCACUGGGAUGCGUUUCAAGAGACAGAAUGAUAUCUGCUGUACCGUACAUCCGCCUUGGCCGUACAGCAGAUUAAUAAAAUAUAUUUAUUAUCUAUUAAAUUAUUAAUUAACGUUGAAAGAUAAUGACAUUAGAAGGGUAAUUUAAUAUUUUCACACGAUAUAAAAAAUAAUAAAAGAAUUUAAGAAUAUAAAAAUGAUAAUUUAAAAGUACGUAAGUGAUAAUAAGAUAAUUUAAGAGUAUAUAAAUAAUAAUUUUUUUAUUUUAAUUUAAAUUUCAAAAAUAAAAUAUCAAUUCGCUGUAUUAACUUUCAGAUGGUAACUAAUGAUUUAGUUAUUAGUAUAUAUAUUUUGUCAACUUAAAAUGAACGAUUAAUAUUAUUUUUUACAACAAAACAAAUAUAAGGUAUAAAAUGAUAAUUUCCCUAACAUAAAUAAAGAAAUGAAACACUAUUUUCGCUUUUGCCACUUUCGUUUUCGGUUUCGAAUUAUCGUCGGAGUCUAGAAACUAGGUUGUGUAUUUAUUAUAUGUGCUCUGUUUUUAUUUGUUUAUCUUUUCUCUGUUCUGACACCUUAGAAAACUUAAUCAGAAAACGACAUGGCAAGGAGAAAAGAAAAUAUUAUACUAGGGUUAUUGAUAUUAAAUCAGAGCUAGAAUUAGCCUUAGGGUUCCUUCUUUUAAACCCUAAAAAUUGAAAACUCAAGUUUAUUAUUUAUCGUAAUAUAAUUAAAUUCCGACAAAGUUAAAUAAUGGGUUCAUUUGAUGGGUAAGUCGUGUAAAAUUUAUCAAUCAUUUUUCGCGUAAAAUUAAUAGUAGAAAUUUCCAAAUCUAAGCGAAUGUCAAAUUUGGUCCAACGCAUGAAAUAAAUUAAAACUCUGGAGAUGAUAACUUUCUAGAUAAUGUAAUUGAUUGUCCAAGUGAUUGAGCUUUUUAUAUAUGGAACUGCAAAUGUAAUUCCUCUGUCCCGCAUUUCGGUCCUUUUAUAGAAGGUUAGAUAUUAUAUUUUGAUGAACUAUUAUUUGAACUAAUUAAAUAAUGAUAUAAUUUUUAUUAUUUUAAUCGAGAUAUAAAUUAAAUAUUCUAAUUAAGCAAAUAUAGUAUUAUUUUUAUGUUUUCAUUGGCUUGAUUCUUGACCAAAUCAUCUUUCAGUACGCAUCCCUCAGUUGAUUACUGACAUGGCAUUAACCCUUCCCUGGUUGAGACGCAAGUAACAGGUACCUACUGGCGAUCGAGGUCGGUUGAAUUAUUUGAUGCAGUACAUCAUAAAAUUUUUUUACUAAAUUUGGUAUAGAUUAUAUCACAUUAACAUAAUUUUUUUAAUAAAAAUUUACUAAUGGUAUAUAAUUAAUAAUUCUUAAUUGACAUUUCUCUCUCCUACUUGUUUGCUUAUCCUUCCACCAUUUUUAUUUUAUUUUUUUCAUUUAUCUCUUACUUUGUGUUUUGUUUCAGCUUCUCAUAAACUCUUUCACUCCCAAUCUAUAAACAAAUAUUUUCAUGCAUUUGUCAUAGAAUUCCAGUUAAAUCAUAUAUUUUUGGUCCAACAGUACUUAUCGGAAAAAAAAUUAUUUCAACAAAAAAUCAUUGAUUUUUAUUUAAGCCCACAUUAAUUGAUCCACAUUUCCACACACAAGUAAAAUUAUACAACCUCGCAUACAAAAUGCAGCUUUUAAAGUUCAGAAGUUUCACUAUGCUCUGAUUUUACAAUCAUAAAGAUUGCAAAUAAUAUUUUUUUUUUAAUCAAAAAGGCAUAAAUGACAAAGCUUUUAUUAUAAUGAUCGGCCGAUGAAUCGCAUGUGCCAGAAGAGCCGAAGACAAACCCAGUAAAGCAGAAAAAACAAAAAAGUAUUAACUCAUAGGACAAGUUUAAUUAAUAAAAAUUAAUUAUAUUGAGUAAGAAAUAAGGAUCACUUAAAUUUUAUUUCUUCUUGUGUUUGGGGUAAAAGGAUUAUAUAUAGCUUUACUGAUGUAAUCAUCAUCAGGUAUGUGUAAUUUAUGAAGCUGCGUCCAUAACCGGAUCCACCAAGAAGUCACAUUUAAAUCGAACAGCUGUUUUUGUAUUCAAUCGAGAGAUUAUACAUUAGGCUUAGGGUUGCAGCACCUCAAUGGCGAGCUGAAAAUAAUAAAUUGUUGUUGACUUAGAAAUAUAAAAUGAAUUAGAAUGAUCGAGAUAAUCGGAUAUAACAGAUCAUAUUAUAAUAAAUACGAUCUGAUCCGAUGUAAUGGAGUUCGAUAAUAUCAAUACCGAUUGUGCGUAUAAGCCAAUAGCAGUUCUUGAUUUCUUGUAUUGUAUGAUUGUGUUGUAUCCAUUCGAUUCAAGCAUAAAAUAUAAAAAAUGAGACGGGUAUGAGUUGAGCAGUGCUGCAAAAGAAAAGAUGAUCGCCCACUCAGCCGCUUGGCAGUUUGCAUGCAGUCCAUGAGCAGCCAUUUUUCAUUCAGCUGCUCACCGUCCUUGGUCCUUAUUCCUAAUAUUUAUUACCCUAUCAACUAACUCUCUUGUAAUUUUUUUUUUUUUUUACAACAUCAAUGAUAUAAGUAACAUGUACUGUUGAAUCUAAUCAGCUGUACAAAUUAUUUCUAUUAAUAAUUUUUUUAAAAUAAUAGAACUAGUUAACAAUCGGUUCAAAAUGUGAUUUGAAAUUUAAAAAAAAAAGUAAAAAGAGAUAUGAUAAAAAUAAUAAUAUCUCGGGUUCUUUUAUUUAAAAUUAAACAAGUAUUACUUAUUUUAUAGCAUUUUGAUGUCGAAACAUAUGAACCGCUUUGAUUAUUUUAAUUGAUUUGAUAGUUAAUCCUUGUGACUUUGAGUCCUAUUAUCAAAUUGGGUUACUUUAAAAAAAAAAUGAAAGAGAAAGUGGUUGUGCAAGGGUUUAUCAAUGAUUAUUUUUUAGGUACUUAAACUUAUAUCUAAGGCUGAACCUUAUCUAAACUACUUGCUUUUGGUCGCCCGAGCACAGCCUGCCAACAAUUAUGGCGGUUGAAUUUGAAUGGAAGACUAGUAUUCUUUCCAAGCAGUGGACCUAAGAAAGGGCGAAGCAAGUGACUUUUACAAUUACUUUGCUUCUUCUGUUCAUUAAAAUACACUUUGCAUUUGACGUGUGGUUAUUUCAAGAUGAUUUGGUACCAAAACUUAUUUUUAAGUUAUGCCAAUUAAAUUCAAAAUAGCAAUAUUUAAUUGUUUUCAUUAUACCCCGGAAAUUCUUCUUUUGUUAAAUUAAAAUUAUGCAUAAUUUGAUUCUAUAAGAAUGUAGCCCGUAUAAUGGUCGACUUUUACCUAUCUAAUUCUUUGAAAUAUUUUAUAUUUGUAUGAAUAAUAUGAUCUUCCAGGGACUUUUAGUCGCUCAUGUGCUUUAUUUUGUUAUCCCUCGUAUAUUCUUUGGUUUCAUGAUUGUUGAUUUCAUGUAGAAGAUUUAUUUAUAUUUGUACAGGAAAGAUAGUUUUACUUUUCAAAUUAUCACAGGAGACUCUCUGCUUGUUAUUGACUUAUUAUUUCAUCAAUUGUGCUAGAUGAAGGAAAUGGAGUUCAAGAAGUUGUUCGAUACACAAAAUAUUGCUGCCUUGCUGCCUUUCGUAUUAAGAGGAAUCCGAUUCAGUGUGUUCUCCUUCCUCACUGCUCGUUGCCAGCUCUUGAAGUGCACCCAACAUUUACCGUACGAAAAGCGGUCUGCUGUACCGUACAUCCGCCUUGGCCGUACAGCAGAAUAAAAAUGAAAAUGAAAAUGGUGUUUUGCAAUUGCUGUAUUUCGAAUUUCAAUAUGUGUCUAGUAUCAUUUUCUGUAUCCUGUAUUUUAAAACUAAAAACUAAAAACAGUAAUAUGCGUUUGGUAGACACAGUUGAAAAUUAGGGGUGGGCAAUAGUCGGUUCGGCCGAGCCGAGCCGAACCGAACCAAAACCAAUCGGUUCUUUAGAAGAUGAACCGAAUAGGGACCGAAUUUAGGAACCGAACCGAACCGAACCGAAAUAUUUCGGUUCGGUUCGGUUCGGUUCCUAAAUUCGGUCCCUAUUCGGUUCAUCUUCUAAAGAACCGAUUGGUUUUGGUUCGGUUCGGCUCGGCUCGGCCGAACCGACUAUUGCCCACCCCUAAUUUUCAACUGUGUCUACCAAACGCAACUACGCACAGGAUCCUUCAACAACGUUCUUCCAAAGAUUGGUGUAGGUAACAAGUUCUGUGCUGCCACCCAACUUCGAAAAACUUCCCACACACACAUUCCCCCACACACACCCACACCCACACCUAGUAGCCCUGCUGUACGGCCAAGGCGGAUGUACGGUACAGCAGAUGACACACACACACACACACACAUAUAUAUAAAUCGGUCUCAAGUUAGUCUUGACUGUAAAAUCCAUUUUGUGGCGAAGUGCAAAGUAUGACAAGAGAUGACAAGGCAAAAGCAGCCAGCCAAUAUAACAAGAUAAUAAAUAAUAGUAUCACCACCAAUCUAGCGAGUUCACUUCGUUUAUCCUUAAUGAAGUCAAGCAUGACAAUGCCAAAAGAUAGUCAAUCAUAAUUAAAAUUCAAAACAAGUGAAAAAAAAUCAUCAUAAAACCUUGAAAAUCAUUGUAGACAAGGUUCCAUUAUCCAUAGCAACAAAAGUCAUGGCAACUAAUUAUAACCACUGAUCUCCAAAGGGCACCAUACACUAUCAUAAUUGAAGUAUUCUGCUGCUUGACUUACAACAUCAAGAACAUCAGGUCAAAAAGGGCCAGAAUCCUUUCAGCUUGUUAGUCUGCUACUGUCAUGAUGCAAACCACUCACUGGCAGGCAUCUGUUUUUAGAAAAAAAAAGACUUCGACCUGUAAUCAUCAAAUCGUAAUUUAGCAAUCAGCAAUUCAAAUCCGCUACAGGGUUGAGCAACCUUUUGCAAAUCAAAAAGUUUGCACUAAUUCACAUAAUACAACUAAUACUAAAAUGAAUCUAAAACUCAGAUCAGGAAGUGGUCAAAGCCAUUAAAGGAAUGGUCAGAGUGUAACAAGCUACCAGGUGUUAACAAUGGAGGGAAGUGGUACAGUGUGCUUGAAUAUGCAAAAACAAUCAGAGUCUACCAACUGCAAUGAACUGGAUGCAGUAGGAAAUGCAUUAGUUGCCACCGUUAAGAAGAUAACCGUUGCCCACAGACAACAACAGUGUUGGAUACAUCCUAAGAAGAAACAGGGUACCUUCACUUUAUCUCUUUUAAGAAGAUUAAACAGUUCAAUAUGGAGGUAUAACAGAAACAGUGGACUACACUGAAGAAGAUAUUCGAUUGAAAAUUAAGGAGUUGAUUAAAUCUUUAAGAUACUGAGACAGCAUAGUUUUUUAUGAAUGGAAACAAAAUAGUAGCCAUGUUGCAAGUUACAAAUUCAGCCUGGAAGCAGAAUUUUUUUUUGCGACAAGGAUGGCAUGAAGAUGACCGGCGUCGCACGAGCUUUCAAUCGGUACCAACCUUGGUCGGAGGAGUGGCCGGAAACGGAGACAAAAUCCGAGUUGGGUUCGUGGGUAUUGUGAUAAAGAGAGGGGUAUUGUGAUGUAUGUGCAAUAUAGAAUAAAAAUGUGUAAAUAGUAAAUAGUUUAAGGUGCUAAGUAAAAUGUUCAUAUGGAUGCAGUAGAAAUUAACUUAAUAUUUAUAAAGUAAAGAUUAAAUAAAAUUGAGUAAAAUGGGUUCUAUAAAAAUUUACAAUUGUGCUGACAAAAAGACAAAAAUAGUGGUACGGUACCACUGUGGUACCGUAGCUUGAUCCUCCUUAAAGUUUGAAUUAAUGAUAGAAUUACACAAAUAUUUUACUUUAGUGGGCUUAUUGAUGACAUGCGUAUCAUUUUUGUCAAUUUAUAGUUGUAAAUUUAUAUUUUUAAAAUGUAUUUUAAUCAUCAUUCCUACUUACCUCACAAAGUUGCUUUGUUUUCCCAAAAAAAGAAAAAGAAAAAAACCGUUUGAAAUAUUUUUUACGUGAUGCAUAAUUAUUGUGAGAAAAUAUAUACGAUGUUUGGGUGUUGUUUUACCAAUUUUCUAUCUAAAUAUGCAUAUGAAUAAACAUGUGAUUGACUUGUAAAAAUAAUGUGGUACUUUAAAUGUACAAAAUCGAUUAUGGAAUGCAAUUUAAUAUGCUCUAUAUUACUUUGAAGUUGGACACCGCGGUUAACUAACUACAAUAUGCACUAAAAAGGUGCUAUUGAAAUGAAUAUGUGAUUUUAAUCAUUUUAAAAUCUGAAAUUUGUGAUCUAAAACAUUUCGGGCAGAUGUUUAAUCGCAGCAGUUAUCUUUCACAAAUUAAAAAUUUUUACAUCAAAUUUUUUAGAGUAAUGAUACAGCCACAAACUCUUGUACAAACUUAUUUUGUACAAACUGACGUGGCAUGAUAAGAUUGGUUGAAUGAAAAUAUAAAUUAAUAAAAACAAAUCAUGUGGGCCAAGUGAUAUUUAAUUCAACCAAUCUUAUCAUGCCACAUCAGUUUGUACAAAAUAAAUUUGUACAAGAGUUUGUGGCUGUAUCAUUACUCAAUUUUUUAUUUUAUUUUAAGUGGUCGUCAAUUUAUCUUCCAUUCCUAGUUUUUUUUUUAAAUACCGAUAAUACACCAGAUUAUUGAAUUACAUUAGAUAUUUACAAUUGUUAUUACAAUAGAUAAUUAUAUUGAUAUUUAUAAUCAGACAUAUAAUUGGAGGUAUUAAAGUACCUUGUCCAGAUAAAUAACCCUCACAAACGAAGAAUAUUUCUACUCCAUUCUUAUUUCAUAAGGAAAAGAACUUACAAAUAAAUCUACACAAUUAUACAUAAUUCUUAAUUCUCAUUACCCUCAUUAUCUGUGAGGGUAAUGAGGGUAAAAGUUCACCGGUCCAGUGCUAUGCUAGUUAAGUGAUUGUGAUCUAACCAUUCGGGAAAUCUCAAUAGACCUUGUAUUUCGGUCGUUUUACAUUUUCCAUGACCAAUGGGCCAGCGCCACAAAAUAAAUUAAGAUUUAAAAUAACUAACAUAAAUGAUUAUUUAAUUUAAUAAUACUAGGGGAAAAAAAAGAGAGUAAACAAAUUCCAAGGACUUGACUUUUCUUUUUGAACAGUAUGCCAGGAAAAAAGUAACAAUUGCUAUGUCUCUCAUGUUUGCCACAAGGCAGACCACUCAAUUAGUUUCAUUACUUCCCUUUUUCUUGGUUUUGAUUAAAUAUAUAUAUAAUUACCAUUUAAUUUUAGAUCCGCCGUAAAAUUUUAUAACAUGGGUACAUUUAUGAUGACAAAAACAUUAAAAAAGAGGAAAAAAAACAUGAUCCAUAGCAUAUGCAUUUAUAAAUAUAAUUCAUAUUCAAACAAUGAGCCUCAUAAUUUAUUUGUUGCUAAUUAAACUAGCGGGAUACUAUAAUUUAUUAAUGCCAACGAAGCGACACAGUACAAAUAGACUUGCACUUGUGAGCUCCGUAGCUGAUGAUUGUCUUGGGUGCUUUGAUCCUGAAGUAGCCGUUCUUGUCCGUUUUGCCAACCACAUUGAGUGGAUACUUGGUGUUGUUGCACUGCAAUUUCAGAGUCGCCCCUGCAAUUGAACCCAUGGACAAUAUUAAAAGAAUAAAAAAAAAUUUAAAUACUAGGGACUUCAAAAAGAGAGCUUGAAAAAGGAAAAAGUAGCUAGCUAUGCUGCCAUAACCAUGCCUCCUACUGAAUGUGACAUAAACCUAGAACAAAGAGAAAGAAAGAGAUCAAGAGCACCUCUCUCUCUCUCCAUUCAAAAUCUGGAAAUGUAUACAUCACGCAUCCAUGAAAACAAAUGCACAUUCGCAUCCAUACGUAUGUUAUGUAUGCAUGAUAUCUAACUAAACAUACAUGUGAAAUUAAUUGAAGUAAUAAUGAUAGAAAAAAAUCAAGUAUGUAAGAGUUUGGAGCAGGGAAAAUUAAGUUGAAAGAUUUCGAAACUGACCUAGAACAGCGGUAGCUCCUAGGAGGGUAUCAGCUCCUGCGUACUUGCAAGACUUGCAAUAAACGACGCCUUGAACUUCAACAAGGCUCCUAGGGAAACGAUGGGUGGGUGUGGGUGGGUGAGCAGGAGCAACGUGUGGUGGAGGUGGGUGAGCAGGAGCAACGUGCGGUGGAGGUGGGUGAGCAGGAGCAACGUGUGAAGGUGGGUGAGCAGGUGCAUGAGCGGGAGUGUGAGCCGGUGCAUGAGCCGGCGGGUGGGGGUGGUGGUGAUGAUGGUGGUGGCUUGGGGCGUGAGCCGGUGGGGCAGUAGGAGGGUGGCUGUGGUGGUGGUG
rnacentral:lncRNA from 1 species